GGAACGGGAGCACGGCGGCACGGCCAGAGGUCUCCGCUCAGCUUCUGCCGCUUGAGUUCUUGUUCCAGCUUGAGCUCACUUCACAGGGGAUGGAUACAGACGGGGAAAGAGAAGCGCUUCUUCAGUUUGGAAUCUACGGGACAGGAAAUAAUUAUCAAUCAAUCUCCAAUCAUAAGUACCCAAAGUUCAAAUGACAAUACUACACAGGAGUUGCAUAAUAAUACACCUCCUUUUCGCGAAACACCAGCUAUUACCAUGGACAAAGACAGGCUCGGCCACUCUACAGCAAAAAGAAGUAUUGAAUUUCCAGAAUAUGAACCUACAAACAAAGAAACGUAACUGAAAAUGAAAAAUUUACAGUAAAUUAUUAUUCAAUUUCUCAACAAUACAAUUUUUUACAUGCCACAGUGGAAAAUGUGUAGAUUAUCCCGCUAGAGAACUUGAUCUUCUGUCAAACGACCUAAGCAAGAGUAUGUACAUCUCCUCAUAUCAAAUACCAAAAAUCUCAUUUGCCAUUCUCAUUUUUGAUCCUCAAACUGCAUUUCAGGCAACACGGCUGCAGCAGACACCUAAGAAAGACACGAGGAUAAACAGUAAAAUAACAUAAGUACCAUCAAUUUUCAUAUCCAUGCAAAAUUAUCCAAAAGUUCAGUAUAUAUUGUAAACACGAACACACAAGCAUUACCUUUUUAAUACUUCUGAUUUCUUAAACCACAUGCAGGGCACCAUCAUGUAUUGUUCGUUUGAAAAUAGUUAUCACUUCUCUAUCGAUAUUUCCAGCACCAUGUUUGUCCCUGCAAAAAUGUAUGUGCAACGAGGUGUCAAGUGUCAAUGCUGGU